rnacentral:rRNA from 1 species
ACUACGGGAGGCAGCAGUGGGGGAUAUUGCACAAUGGGGGAAACCCUGAUGCAGCGACGCCGCGUGUGGGAAGACGGUCCUCUGGAUUGUAAACCACUGUUCCCAGGGACGAAGAUGACGGUACCUGGGGAGGAAGCUCCGGCUAACUACGUGCCAGCAGCCGCGGUAAUACGUAGGGAGCGAGCGUUGUCCGGAAUUACUGGGUGUAAAGGGAGCGUAGGCGGGACUGCAAGUUGGGUGUCAAAUCUACCGGCUCAACCGGUAGCCGCACUCAAAACUGCAGUUCUUGAGUGAAGUAGAGGCAGGCGGAAUUCCUAGUGUAGCGGUGAAAUGCGUAGAUAUUAGGAGGAACACCAGUGGCGAAGGCGGCCUGCUGGGCUUUUACUGACGCUGAGGCUCGAAAGUGUGGGGAGCAAACAGGAUUAGAUACCCCGGUAGUC